UGGGGAAUUUUGGACAAUUGGGCGAAAGCCUGAUCCAGCAAUGCCGCGUGUGUGAAGAAGGCCUUCGGGUUGUAAAGCACUUUUGUCCGGAAAGAAAUCCUUGGCUCUAAUACAGUCGGGGGAUGACGGUACCGGAAGAAUAAGCACCGGCUAACUACGUGCCAGCAGCCGCGGUAAUACGUAGGGUGCAAGCGUUAAUCGGAAUUACUGGGCGUAAAGCGUGCGCAGGCGGUUUGCUAAGACCGAUGUGAAAUCCCCGGGCUCAACCUGGGAACUGCAUUGGUGACUGGCAGGCUAGAGUAUGGCAGAGGGGGGUAGAAUUCCACGUGUAGCAGUGAAAUGCGUAGAGAUGUGGAGGAAUACCGAUGGCGAAGGCAGCCCCCUGGGCCAAUACUGACGCUCAUGCACG
rnacentral:rRNA from 1 species